rnacentral:misc_RNA from 1 species
AAAAUAGAAGGGAAACUCAGAAACUGAUCAAGGAUCAAGAAUCAUGAGCGAAAAUGAUGAAGAUACGACACUUUGUAGAAACUGUCGGAGGCAGAUCAGUACAUCCAACUUUGUACUGCAUGAAAUGCACUGCAAAAGAAAUAUUUCCCUAUGUGAACACUGCAAUGAACCAAUUCCUAAGGCAGAAAUGGAAGUUCACUUUGAGGAAAACCAUGCCAAAAUACCUUGUCCCAAGUGUAAAGUUCAGGUUGAAAAGCAGCAUCUGGAAACACAUGAGGAACAAGAAUGCCUUAAAAGACAAGUCAAAUGCACAUACUGUGAAAUGGAUGUGGCCAAGGGUGAGCUGGAUGAUCACAUAGAAUAUUGUGGAACCAGAACGGAGAACUGUGUGCUGUGUGGACAGUUUAUAAUGGUGAAGGACAUGGCUCGACAUGAAGAAUCCCGGUGCAGUUAUGGAGGAGUUCAACCCAAAAGCAAUCCACGUACCAGUGUGUCAGUCCCUACCGCUAAAAUUGCACCAGCUGUCUCAAGCAGAAAACCACCACCACCAACACAAGGCGCAGAUAUGUCGGAUGAUUUCCUGUUUGGAUCAGGUGAACUGAACACCUUCCAGAUGGAUGAGAUCCAAAGGUUGUUGGGAGCCAAUGGAAUGGGAGCAUCACAUCAGUCAGGGUCCACAUCUGGAGCUAGAUCCACUGCCUUCUGUGGAACCACACAGAUGGCUACCAGUAAGAACAAAAAGAAGGAGGUCAAUAUACAGAGACAGAACAGAAAUGGGGAGGUCAACCACAGUCUGGACCAUGACCAGACCUUUUUGCCUUGUGAAUUUUGUGGAGAAACAUUUCCUGUUGAUAUGCUUGUUUUACAUCAGGGUUCUUGUUCAGAAGACCAGUUAAGUUCUUUAAUGGACAACAACUCUUUAUCAGCUGAGGACAACAGAAUCAACUAUCCAGAACCUCCCAUGGAAAGGCCAAUGCCCAACGUCAUAGAUAAUCUCCAUGGAUAUGACAUUUAUGAUGACUCUGACCCAUCUGGAGGGUUUGAUGGGGCAGGCCCUGUACAACUGGACGAAGAUUUGCUGCUUCCCUGCGAGUUCUGUGAUGACCUUUUCCCCCAGGAUGUUCUGGUUAUGCAUCAGGCAGUCUGUGAAGCUGAUGCUUUAAAAACUCCAAGAGUUAUGUCCCCUGCUGUAAGAAAUACAGGAAGUGGUAUGAAAAAAGUCCCUAAUGCUUCACGUGCCAAACCAAUGCAACACACACCAAACAUCAACGAAAUUAUCUAUGGUAAAGACCAUCAUGCAACUCCACCUGGUCCUCACUCAAGAGACUUGGAUCACACACUACGAAAGUAUGGAAGUUCCUCAUUUGAUGUGUACAGUUCCAGGAGUCAACGUAGAACAAGUGAGACUGAGAGCAUUUCUCCCACAUCUCCCAGAAGAUCUACAUCUCGGACCUCAGCGAGCAGUGCUGCUCGCACUAGAAUGACUCUGAAUAACUUGCUCAGUGACUAUGACUCUCCAGUCCCAACCCCCAAACCAGCGGGUUCCCGCAGACCAAGUGAUUCUAGAGAAACUGCGGGUUCUUUUGUAGGGUUUUCUUCCAGUUCUAGAAAAAGUAGUUUGAAUGCAAAUAAUCAUGCGAAACAAACAGCUCAUUCCUCUGUUAGGUCUACUCAGGUACCUGGUGCUACUUCUAAAAGAAAUGGUAAGAUUUCCGCUAAGGGAAGACUCGUUGAAUUUCUGUACCUCUAAAUUACCUGAAAAAAUCUUCAAGUACAUUUACCUAUACUGUAAAUUUUUGUUCAAAACGAUUUUUAGUGCAUGAUUUAUCUCUAUUCAUACAGAUACAAAAAGGACAAAUAUUGGAGCCAACCGACGAGACCCAUUUGAUCCUGACCUAAAUGGUGGAAAUAUACGUCCAUCAAGGUCACAGAGAAACCCUGACGGUCAGUAUAUGCCCCCCACUCCUGGCAGCUUGUCUUCCAGACAGAGGGACAGAACCUUUGACUACGGGGACAGAACUAACAAAAACGUGAGUUUCCUGAUUACAGUAGAAUAUACAUGUUCUUUAUAAUUGGUUCCAUUUGGAAAAUUACUCCGUCUAAACCUAAAAUCUUGCAUUUCAAUCAACAAAAUGUUUCUAAUAUCUGUCAUAAAUAUCUUUCUUUUUCUUUCUGAACAGAGAAGUCCCACUAAACGAAGAGACCAGUAUUAAAACCAACCCUUUGGUCUACUGUAUAUCUCCAUCUGUUGGUAAAGGAAAAGAUUACAAAAAUUACCUGAAAUUAGUGCAUAUUGUUGUUGAUUUGGGUAAGGCCAUAAAAAAUUAAUCUCUAGGUUCUAAGGCAAGGAUUUUUAACAACAAAUGCGGUUGGGCAGUGAUAAUUUUUUCUUUUUACUGCAUAAAAAUGGAUGCAGUAUUUUCUUUUUAUUUUAACAAUGUGCAAUUCUUAUUCAAAUCCAGAAAAAAGCAAUGUUUUAUAGCAAAUAAAUAGUUACCUUGCAAAGAAUAUAUCAGAUUUAUUAGCUCAAACUAAAUGAAAUAAAUAAGUCAUUGUGUUCUUCAGGAAACACUUCAACUAAGGUCAUACUAAAACACGCCUGCCAUGAUGUUUGCAAUUAUGUUCUUUAUUAAGUCAAGCAUUUUAUUGAUUUGAGUACCUAAAAUGCCGUCCUAAAUCAGGAAUUUUUUUUCCAGAAUGAGCAAGCACAAUUUUAUUUUAUUCAUUUAAUGAUAAAAAUGGGUAAUGCGGAAAGUUAAAUCAGAUGCUCGCUGGCCCGAGAACCGAGGAAUUAAUCUUUGAUGACCUAAACACCAUAUUUUAUCUUCUCAUGCAGGCUUUGAGAUUAGUUUUUAUUUUUACAAAAAUGUACAACUGUUGAACACAUGUACACUCACUGUGAUGAGAAUUGACAUAUAAACAUGUACACAUAUCUUUGAAAAGAUUAUUUACAUGUCUAAUGUGAAAAAAAAAUUGAUUUGUUUUAUACU